CUCAUUUUCAACAAGAAACAUAGAUAGUAUCACAUACGGCAAAGGAGUUGGGUGUUUACUAGGGAAGUCAAGCUAAGACUCUGGAAUGUGAGGACAACCAGAAGGAUUGGUGAUGGAUGAAAAGUGGUCCUGGGGGGGGGAAAAAAAAAAAAGAAACUUUAAUACAAGUUUUGUUUAGAAAAGAUCCUGUAAACAAAGUAACAACACUAAAACCUUGGGCCUAAUUUAAAGAGUAUAUAAUUUGAGAGAGUUUCAGCUGUGUUUUUCACAGAAGCUGCCCAUGUACCUAUUUAGACAUCUACUACUUGACCUUAAACUUGAGAAUCAUAUUUCAUUAGUGCUUUUGCUCUAAGGAUUACACAGGCCCUUCCCAUGAAACAUCAAGAGAAAAACUGCACACAAGACACAGCAUGGGAUAUGGGGCUUCUUUCUUUGUGGCUCAGUUGCCUGCAAUGCAGGAUCCCUGGGUCAGAAGAUCUUCUGGAGAAGGAAAUGGCAACCCACUCCAUAUUCUUGCCUGGGAAACUACAUGGACAAAGAAGCCUGGAAGACUACAAUCCAUGGGGCUGGACAUGACUGAGCGAUUAAACUAUCACCACCACCACUAUUUCCCUGGGAUUUAGCAUAAUAUUUGGCAUGCAGUCAAUGUUCAGUAACCACUAAGUAAAUAAAUUGACCAACUGAGUAUGUAGAAAAACCUCUAACAUAAGGUAAGAAGUAGUAAGAGCCAUAGGGAACAGCAGAUUGAAUGCUCCUGGUGUUUACAGAUCUUUGUUAGAUUCCAAAGAACCUAAACUAAACUACAGAGGUCUUGGGUCCUAGAGCCAAUCCUAACAUACUACCUAUUUCUGUGACCUUUCAAACCACACAGACUGUAUAGCUUUUAUUUGUAAAAAAAGAAAAGAUUAGACCACAGAGACAAUACUGACCAUAUAAAUGAUUAAAGUAGAAUGAGGGCAAGGUAAUGGGGGCUGGUAGGGAUGAUACAAUCUAGACAGCUUCCCAGCCUGGAAGUGGGGCAUCCCUUCUCAGUCCAUUCAGGAAGAAGAACCUAAUGUUGCAGAUCUUUCACAUUUUCAAGAGAAAUCUGUAUUUUUCAAUUUUUUAGAGUUUCCUAGUGUUUAAAUGUUAGCUACUAAUUAAAAACUUGGGGAAAAAAAAAGCAAGUCAAACAAAUCUGUCUCUGAAUCAGAUCUGGAUCAUGGGUCACUAGUAUUUUAUUUGUAGACUAUGAUCAUCAAUAUUCUAAU
ensembl:lncRNA